rnacentral:rRNA from 1 species
CCUACGGGAGGCAGCAGUGGGGAAUAUUGGACAAUGGGCGCAAGCCUGAUCCAGCCAUGCCGCGUGUGUGAAGAAGGCCUUCGGGUUGUAAAGCACUUUCAUCGGGGAAGAAAGCCUUGGGGCUAAUACCCUCGGGUAAUGACGUUACCCACAGAAGAAGCACCGGCUAACUCCGUGCCAGCAGCCGCGGUAAUACGGAGGGUGCGAGCGUUAAUCGGAAUUACUGGGCGUAAAGCGCGCGUAGGCGGUCUGAUAAGCCGGUUGUGAAAUCCCCGGGCUCAACCUGGGAACGGCAUUCGGAACUGUCAGGCUAGAGUGCUGUAGAGGAAGGUAGAAUUCCCGGUGUAGCGGUGAAAUGCGUAGAGAUCGGGAGGAAUACCAGUGGCGAAGGCGGCCUCCUGGACUGACACUGACGCUGAGGUGCGAAAGCGUGGGUAGCAAACAGGAUUAGAAACCCCAGUAGUC